rnacentral:rRNA from 1 species
AACGAGUUAUCUGAACCUUCGGGGGACGAUAACGGCGUCGAGCGGCGGACGGGUGAGUAAUGCCUAGGAAAUUGCCCUGAUGUGGGGGAUAACCAUUGGAAACGAUGGCUAAUACCGCAUGAUGCCUACGGGCCAAAGAGGGGGACCUUCGGGCCUCUCGCGUCAGGAUAUGCCUAGGUGGGAUUAGCUAGUUGGUGAGGUAAGGGCUCACCAAGGCGACGAUCCCUAGCUGGUCUGAGAGGAUGAUCAGCCACACUGGAACUGAGACACGGUCCAGACUCCUACGGGAGGCAGCAGUGGGGAAUAUUGCACAAUGGGCGCAAGCCUGAUGCAGCCAUGCCGCGUGUGUGAAGAAGGCCUUCGGGUUGUAAAGCACUUUCAGUCGUGAGGAAGGUAGUGUAGUUAAUAGCUGCAUUAUUUGACGUUAGCGACAGAAGAAGCACCGGCUAACUCCGUGCCAGCAGCCGCGGUAAUACGGAGGGUGCGAGCGUUAAUCGGAAUUACUGGGCGUAAAGCGCAUGCAGGUGGUUUGUUAAGUCAGAUGUGAAAGCCCGGGGCUCAACCUCGGAAUAGCAUUUGAAACUGGCAGACUAGAGUACUGUAGAGGGGGGUAGAAUUUCAGGUGUAGCGGUGAAAUGCGUAGAGAUCUGAAGGAAUACCGGUGGCGAAGGCGGCCCCCUGGACAGAUACUGACACUCAGAUGCGAAAGCGUGGGGAGCAAACAGGAUUAGAUACCCUGGUAGUCCACGCCGUAAACGAUGUCUACUUGGAGGUUGUGGCCUUGAGCCGUGGCUUUCGGAGCUAACGCGUUAAGUAGACCGCCUGGGGAGUACGGUCGCAAGAUUAAAACUCAAAUGAAUUGACGGGGGCCCGCACAAGCGGUGGAGCAUGUGGUUUAAUUCGAUGCAACGCGAAGAACCUUACCUACUCUUGACAUCCAGAGAACUUUCCAGAGAUGGAUUGGUGCCUUCGGGAACUCUGAGACAGGUGCUGCAUGGCUGUCGUCAGCUCGUGUUGUGAAAUGUUGGGUUAAGUCCCGCAACGAGCGCAACCCUUAUCCUUGUUUGCCAGCGAGUAAUGUCGGGAACUCCAGGGAGACUGCCGGUGAUAAACCGGAGGAAGGUGGGGACGACGUCAAGUCAUCAUGGCCCUUACGAGUAGGGCUACACACGUGCUACAAUGGCGCAUACAGAGGGCGGCCAACUUGCGAAAGUGAGCGAAUCCCAAAAAGUGCGUCGUAGUCCGGAUUGGAGUCUGCAACUCGACUCCAUGAAGUCGGAAUCGCUAGUAAUCGUGGAUCAGAAUGCCACGGUGAAUACGUUCCCGGGCCUUGUACACACCGCCCGUCACACCAUGGGAGUGGGCUGCAAAAGAAGUAGGUAGUUUAACCUUCGGGGGGACG